CCUAAUACAUGCAAGUCGAGCGAAUGGAUUGAGAGCUUGCUCUCAUGAAGUUAGCGGCGGACGGGUGAGUAACACGUGGGUAACCUGCCCAUAAGACUGGGAUAACUCCGGGAAACCGGGGCUAAUACCGGAUAAUAUUUUGAACUGCAUGGUUCGAAAUUGAAAGGCGGCUUCGGCUGUCACUUAUGGAUGGACCCGCGUCGCAUUAGCUAGUUGGUGAGGUAACGGCUCACCAAGGCAACGAUGCUGUAGCCGACCUGAGAGGGUGAUCGGCCACACUUGGGACUGAGACACGGCCCAGACUCCUACGGGAGGCAGCAGUAGGGAAUCUUCCGCAAUGGACGAAAGUCUGACGGAGCAACGCCGCGUGAGUGAUGAAGGCUUUCGGGUCGUAAAACUCUGUUGUUAGGGAAGAACAAGUGCUAGUUGAAUAAGCUGGCACCUUGACGGUCCU
rnacentral:rRNA from 1 species